AGCGGCGGACGGGUGAGUAAUGCCUAGGAAUCUGCCUGGUAGUGGGGGAUAACGCUCGGAAACGGACGCUAAUACCGCAUACGUCCUACGGGAGAAAGCAGGGGACCUUCGGGCCUUGCGCUAUCAGAUGAGCCUAGGUCGGAUUAGCUAGUUGGUGAGGUAAUGGCUCACCAAGGCGACGAUCCGUAACUGGUCUGAGAGGAUGAUCAGUCACACUGGAACUGAGACACGGUCCAGACUCCUACGGGAGGCAGCAGUGGGGAAUAUUGGACAAUGGGCGAAAGCCUGAUCCAGCCAUGCCGCGUGUGUGAAGAAGGUCUUCGGAUUGUAAAGCACUUUAAGUUGGGAGGAAGGGCAGUUACCUAAUACGUGAUUGUUUUGACGUUACCGACAGAAUAAGCACCGGCUAACUCUGUGCCAGCAGCCGCGGUAAUACAGAGGGUGCAAGCGUUAAUCGGAAUUACUGGGCGUAAAGCGCGCGUAGGUGGUUUGUUAAGUUGGAUGUGAAAUCCCCGGGCUCAACCUGGGAACUGCAUCCAAAACUGGCAAGCUAGAGUAUGGUAGAGGGU
rnacentral:rRNA from 1 species